UAUUGUUAGGACCCGCCAUAGAACAGCUUUUUGGUCGCUCAUGCAACAUCUUGGUAUUGUAUAGUCUUUGUUAGUACGUUUGUGGGCGUAGCCACCAGCCAACAGGAAAAUACCUUUUCCGAUCAUUAUAACAACAGAGGUUGUUUUGUUCGAGAAUAAAAUGCAUAAAAUAAAAAUUAUAGGUCACGUUUGUGGGUUCCAUUCGGUGCAGAGGACUUGGAAGCUAAAAGGUUACUCCGAACACUCAACCCCUUCGCACGCACGCACUCACUUUCCUCUGGGUAGUCGGCAUUUCUUUGCAUUUUUAAAGCACCGCGCUGGCAGCCAUCAAUUUAUCAUGCUGUUGUGUUGGCCAUAUAAGCGGAAGUUGUACAACCCAGCACUACAUGCCCUGCCAGCCGUAUGAGCAGCAACAAUACCAUCAGGAGCAGGCAGCCGCAGCGGCAGGCACGAGAUGGAGAAGGAAGUCGAAGACACAACCCCACUUUCGGGGGGCGGGGGAUGAGUGUCACAUCUAUUUUCAACAUUGUGCACACAUUUCAUUCAUUGAGUGCAUGUCGGGCCCGAGACCAGAACGAGCAUAUUUACAACCAUAGAGGCAUUUAUGCGCUUUUAUGAGAUUUUAUGGGACAUUUAAAAAAGACAGUUGGUUAUUUUUUUACUAAGUUGAUAAUUAUCUUGUGGGUGGAUGUGCACGUGUGUGUGUGCAAUCAAAACGCAAUAAAUUCAAUUGAAAAUUUUCCAUUU